rnacentral:rRNA from 1 species
UGGGGAAUAUUGCACAAUGGGGGAAACCCUGAUGCAGCGACGCCGCGUGGAGGAAGAAGGUCUUCGGAUUGUAAACUCCUGUUGUUGAGGAAGAUAAUGACGGUACUCNACNAGGAAGUGACGGCUAACUACGUGCCAGCAGCCGCGGUAAAACGUAGGUCNCAAGCGUUGUCCGGAAUUACUGGGUGUAAAGGGAGCGCAGGCGGGANNACAAGUUGGAAGUGAAAUCCAUGGGCUCAACCCAUGAACUGCUUUCAAAACUGUUUUUCUUGAGUAGUGCAGAGGUAGGCGGAAUUCCCGGUGUAGCGGUGGAAUGCGUAGAUAUCGGGAGGAACACCAGUGGCGAAGGCGGCCUACUGGGCACCAACUGACGCUGAGGCUCGAAAGUGUGGGUAGCAAACAGGAUUAGAUACCCUGGUAGUCCACACCGUAAACGAUGAUUACUAGGUGUUGGAGGAUUGACCCCUUCAGUGCCGCAGUUAACACAAUAAGUAAUCCACCUGGGGAGUACGACCGCNAGGUUGAAACUCAAAGGAAUUGACGG